CGUCGUAGUAGUUCGAUGAGGUUAUAUUUGGGAAAGACAUCAAUGGUUUGGAACCGAGUAGGAGCUUUUGUUAAAUUUAAUGGUGUGCCUCUUCUAUUCUGCUAUAUUUGUUUUUCUUUUAGUCUUAGUUAUUACUCGUAAUUUUAGUUAUUACUCGUAAUUUGGCAAAUUACGACUUAAUCUUAGAACUCUUGAUGUGCACGCUGUUUCACGCUUCCGGGAGGAGGAAAUUGGUAUUCACUGGUGAAAAUACAGAAGAGCUCGGUUUAACGGGGGGGUUUUCUUCAACGUUAAGCUGCACAUUAGGUACAGAAGUCAAUUGUACAGUAAUCUACAGAUUGGUUCGAUGUAAGCCACAAAAAUUUCUUCGCGAGAGAAACUGAAAAUCUUCUUCCGGUGUAAGCAAGGGAUCGUGGAGUCUGGCUGUUCCAGAUUGAUCGAAACCACAAGGAACCAGUGCGGAUCAGUCACCGUCAGGGACGAAACACCUACCGCUUCUCUCUUCUGAUCUCGCCUGGAGCUCGGGCCGAAACCCGGAUUACCGGGGAUGGGGAUGGGGUAGGUGUUCGGACCGUCGGAGUUAGGUUUUCCUUUGGGAUGUUCGGCUUAAUGCCGGGGUGUGACGCUAUGCCGUUAGGAGGUAAUCCGGAGCCGCGUGCGAGUAGCAGUCGGCGGCGUUUGGUGCCGGACGUCCCUGUGGUGGCCGGAGGUCGGCUGUUAUGGAGAUGGACGACGUCAACCUCCCAAAUAAACUCGCUGACAUUUCUUUGCAAGGACUCCUCAGUUCCUCCUCUUGAGGUCAGAGUCAUCGUGGUGGUGGCUCUCCGGCGAGAGGAUGGAAGCGGGUUGAAGAUUUUCUCUUGUGGUCGAGCUCAUCAGCAGGGGAUACCGUGGAGGAGCGUCGGCGCCUGCAAUCGGUCGCCGGCUCCUGCCGUUCCUCUGCAUCUUCUGGUCGAAGGGCGACCGAAUCUUUUCCUCCUGACCAGAGUGCCGAUUUGGAGACAGUUCUUCCCCUGGUUGGUGGUCGCAGCAACCAACUGCGACAGCUCGUCGUCCCCGACGACGGUGAGGAGAGCACCGAUUGGGGGUCGAGGACCCAAUUGCGUUUCUUCUUCUCCUUUGAGGGUCCUUUAUGCAAAGUCCAAGGAUUUUGUUGUAUUUCGAAAUCUGUUGUGAGUGUGCUUGUACUUUGUGCUACUAGUAAUGAAUAAAUUCGGGAUCCUACCUUUUAAAAAAAAGGGAACCAGUGCCAACUGGCAAGGGAUGGUAAGUUCUCGGCCAACAGGGCGAGCUUGUCCGAUUAGCUAAGGAUGUUUUGCGUCUUGUCAAAGCCACAGACCGACGGCUCUAUUCUAGCCGUGAGAUUCUUUUGGCCAUCAUAUGAAGAAUCUAGAAGUCUAAAAACGCUAAGGUUUUCAGCCAACGAAUACAUUCCAGCUCGAUGACAGCUUUCGAAGACACAACCUCAUCGCUAUGACAAUGACAAAUAAGAUGCGGUGACAAAUAAAAAUGCAAUGACAACAAAAUAAAAAUAAAAAGGCAAUGACAAAAAAAAGUCACCGGCGUGACGGCGUGAGUAUUUUUCAUUCCUUUUAUAACUUGAGACACUUUAUCCCCGGACCUAUAAACAAUG
rnacentral:lncRNA from 1 species